AUGAAUACAUGUUUAAACAUUAUUUACCUCAUCUUAAUUCUCUUCCAGAUGCCUGGCCUUUUCUUGUUCUUGGAGGUUGGCUCUGAUGUUUCAGCCUCUCCUGGAGCUUCUAGCUGUUGGCUCUCUGGCUCCCCCUGUUGGUUCUCUGAACUCCCCUCCUGGCUCUCUGGCUCCCCCUGUUGGUUCUCUGGCUCCCCCUGUUGGUUCUCUGGCACCCCCUGUUGGUUCUCUGGCUCCCCCUGUUGGUUCUCUGAACUCCCCUCCUGGUUCUCUGGCACCCCCUGUUGGUUCUCUGAACUCCCCUCCUGGCUCUCUGGCACCCCCUGUUGGUUCUCUGGCCACUCCUGCUGGUUCUCCGAACUCCCCUCCUGGUUCUCUGGCACCCCCUGUUGGUUCUCUGGCACCCCCUGUUGGUUCUCUGAACUCCCCUCCUGGUUCUCUGGCACCCCCUGUUGGUUCUCUGAACUCCCCUCCUGGCUCUCUGGCACCCCCUGUUGGUUCUCUGAACUCCCCUCCUGGCUCUCUGGCACCCCCUGUUGGUUCUCUGGCCACUCCUGCUGGUUCUCCGAACUCCCCUCCUGGUUCUCUGGCACCCCCUGUUGGUUCUCUGGCCACUCCUGCUGGUUCUCUGAACUCCCCUCCUGGCUCUCUGGCACCCCCUGUUGGUUCUCUGGCCACUCCUGCUGGUUCUCUGAACUCCCCUCCUGGCUCUCUGGCACCCCCUGUUGGUUCUCUGGCCACUCCUGCCUUGGUUCUCUGAACUCCCCUCCUGGCUCUCUGGCACCCCCUGUUGGUUCUCUGGCCACUCCUGCUGGUUCUCCGAACUCCCCUCCUGGCUCUCUGGCACCCCCUGUUGGUUCUCUGGCCACUCCUGCUGGUUCUCUGAACUCCCCUCCUGGCUCUCUGGCACCCCCUGUUGGUUCUCUGAACUCCCCUCCUGGCUCUCUGGCACCCCCUGCUGGUUCUCUGGCCACUCCUGCUGGUUCUCCGAACUCCCCUCCUGGUUCUCUGCCCAUGCCUGCUGCCUCCUUGGCCCCUCCUGCUGGCCAUCUCCAGAUCCAACAGGCUCUUGGCUUACUUGUUGGCCUGUGGCCCAUCCCGGCAAUGCCUGACCGUGGUUGGAAUCGUGGCUGUGUUGGGUGGUUAGACACCGGGUGUUGA
rnacentral:lncRNA from 8 species